GCCCGAGUGGCUCAACUGGAUAGAGCAACGGCCUUCGAAGCCGUGGGUUGCAGGUUCGAGUCCUGCCUCGGGCGCCA
rnacentral:tRNA from 3 species